rnacentral:rRNA from 1 species
ACUACGGGAGGCAGCAGUGGGGAAUAUUGGGCAAUGGGCGCAAGCCUGACCCAGCAACGCCGCGUGAAGGAAGAAGGCUUUCGGGUUGUAAACUUCUUUUCUCAGGGACGAAGCAAGUGACGGUACCUGAGGAAUAAGCCACGGCUAACUACGUGCCAGCAGCCGCGGUAAUACGUAGGUGGCAAGCGUUAUCCGGAUUUACUGGGUGUAAAGGGCGUGUAGGCGGGAACGCAAGUCAGAUGUGAAAACCACGGGCUCAACCUGUGGCCUGCAUUUGAAACUGGUUUUCUUGAGUACUGGAGAGGCAGACGGAAUUCCUGGUGUAGAGGUGAAAUGCGUAGAUAUUAGGAGGAACACCAGUGGCGAAGGCGGUCUGCUGGACAGCAACUGACGCUGAGGCGCGAAAGCGUGGGGAGCAAACAGGAUUAGAUACCCGUGUAGUC